ACUAGUAUAACGAGUCGAAUAGAUUUAGUGUGUAGUUGGAUUCAUCUAGAGUCGGUAUAAAAGACCGAACCCAUUUCCCCUCUUUUAUGUAAAUAUGUUUUUUGUGUACAUAAGGAAAUUAGUUAUGCUAAAAGUAAAAUAGAUUUGAUAGAUCACUUUGAUCUGGACUGGUGAACUUAUCGGACGCUUUUCGUUUUUAUUAAGAACUUGAUCAAGAAAGUAAUUCCUUCAAACAGUGAGUAUCCAUAUAACAGUGGCGACGAGCGAAAAUUAGGUUAGUUAUUUUCGCGUGUGAUAUCUACUCGGGAGCGGUCAUAUUUCGCAGCACAGGAGUGCAUUGGCGAGAGUUCCGGCUGUAAAGUUCGAUUCGGUGGCGGCAUUUUGGAGUUCCGUCAGGGUGACCAGAAUUACCAAGAGUGUUCAGAACUCGGACAAUAGGUUACCGCCGGUCGCAAGCGACGCUCUAAUGCUUUGGCCACAUGUGGCGCACUUUCAAUCCGUGACAUAAGGCAAUUUCUUCACGUACGAAGAAGGAUUUAGGAAAAAAUCGAACGGUAGAGAAACCUGAUACAGGAAAAAUAAAAGCCUCUGGCCAAAUUGCAGGCUGGUUUAGCAAGCAGAAAUCGCUGACGCUUGAGAUCUCGAUCGGCUCAGUCUUGAUCUCGGCCCACAGGGGGCAGAUAAGGAUUGCCAAUAAACAAGAACACAGGCGCAAUGUGGCGUUUCAAUUGCCGGACACAUUCUAUCGCUUGCCAAGUCGUGGCACGAAAAGACGUUUUGAGGACUCAGAUGACGACACACCGUUCAGAGGGUUUUCACCGGAACCACCACCAGCUAGAAGCGAGUUGCAUCCAGAGGCGUUGCGUUCGAAUGAAUCGAGCAAUAAAAGUAGCGUUAUCGAAUCCGCUACUUUGAGGAGGUCUACAAGAGCUAGGAAAAAGAAGUUUGAUGGAGAAUAUUUGUAUUUCAAGUGAGAUGGUUAAACCUUGCUUUAAUUUUCAUUAUUGAAUACCGAAACUAAGCUUUGGUCAGAAUUUUAAUACUUUAUGAAAUGUAAAUGCUGAAUGAGCAUAGGAAUUAUAUAUAUAUUUUCUCUUUUGUUUCAAAUGUUAUAAAUGAUUUCAAAUAACUUAAGAGGGAAGAAUUUGUAAGGAACUAGUAUAACGAGUCGAAUAGAUUUAGUGUGUAGUUGGAUUCAUCUAGAGUCGGUAUAAAAGACCGAACCCAUUUCCCCUCUUUUAUGUAAAUAUGUUUUUUGUGUACAUAAGGAAAUUAGUUAUGUUAAAAGUAAAAUAGAUUUGAUAGAUCACUUUGAUCUGGACUGGUGAACUUAUCGGACGCUUUUCGUUUUUAUUAAGAACUUGAUCAAGAAAGUAAUUCCUUCAAACAGUGAGUAUCCAUAUAACACAAACCAUAUUACUUGGAGAACUUCACAAUAGCGGAAGCAUGCCUGUGUUUUGAAGCGAACGAAUAGGAUUAUUUUUCCAGUACCGUACUCACCUCGUUUGCUAUGUAACUCCUUGCGUUUUUAAAAAUAUGACUUGUCUUGACAAUCUUCACCCUAGGACUGCACUUUUGUCUAUACGACUGUAGACUUUAACUUCAGAGACUAGUGCUAACUUGAAUACGUUUUGAAAUCAAAUAUGAUUACCGCUUCACUAUUGCCCUUAUAUGAAUUAGUGCCAACAACAU